rnacentral:rRNA from 1 species
GUACACACCGCCCGUCGAUACUACCGUUGAAUGGCUUAGUGAGGCCUCCGGACCUGGCGGGGCGCUGCGAGGCGGCCUGGUGGGGAAGCUGGUCAAACUUGGUCAUUUAGAGGAAGUAAAAGUCGUAACAAGGUAUUCGUAGGUGAACCUGCAGAAGGAUCA